AUGGAGCUGGUGGUCGGCGCUUCGGCGGCGACGAUGAAGUCUCUCCUGGGUAAGCUGGGUGGCCUCCUUGCCCAGGAGUACACCUUGAUUAGGGGCGUCAACAGCGACCUCCAGUACAUCAAUGACGAACUAGCCACAAUGCAGUCCUUCCUCCGCACCGUCGCCGGAAGCCACGACAGCGACGACCUGAUGAAGGACUGGAUGAAGCAGAUCCGUGACGUCACGUACGACGUGGAGGACUGCAUCGACGACUCCGGCCACCGCCUCCACGGCAUCCGCGCCGACAGGUGCUGCUACUUCCUCGUCAACGGCGUCCACGAGGUCCUCACCGGGCGGCCUCGCCGCGACGUCGCCGUCAGGAUCUCCGUCCUCAAGGUGCGGGCACAACAGAUCGGCGAGCGGCGGCUGCGGUACGGCGUCGACAACCCGCAGAGAGUCGGAAGCGGAAGCACCCCUACCGCCGGAUUCGACGCCGCCGAAAACCAGGACGCGAGCCUUCAGAUCGUCACCGUGAAGGAACCCGUGGGGGUUGAGAAGCACAUGGAGGAGCUCGAAAGGUGGGUCACCGACGAGAACAGCGGCGGCGUGCUGUACAUCGUCGGGUUCGGAGGGGUGGGGAAGACCACCAUCGCCACCGCCCUGUACAGGAAAUUUGGGGAAAAUUUCUCCCACCGUGCGACGGUCUCCGUGUCCCAGAGCUCCGACGUGGAGGCCGUCCUCAGGAACAUAAAGAGUCAGGUCAUGCCGCUGCAGAUCGACAGCCACCAGCAGCACGGCAGCUUGCCGGAGAACAGUCUCGCGGCAGCGGUAAAAGCCGUGCCCCGGCACAUCGGGCAAGGUGCCUCAGCCGUCGUGGCCAGGCUCCGCAACUUUGGCAGGUCAGUGCAAACAACUGAGCGUGGGAAGCAAGAUCAGCUCAAGGAGGAACUUCAGAAGCAUUUCGGGGAAGACAGUUACUUGCUCUUAAUUGACGACGUAUGGUCUGCAGCAACAUGGGAUCAAAUUAGAAAAUCACUUCCUCAAAGGAACAAACGAGGCAAAAUAAUAGUUACUACACGGUUUCAUGCUGUUGCUAAAAUGCGCAGAGGAGAAGGUAGCAAAGUUUGUCAAGUUGAUGCUCUUAUUGACAGUGAAUCCAAGAAGUUGUUUGAGCAGGCUCUCCAUGAAUCCAGAGGAAGAGAAGGUGCUCCCACACCUGAGAGAGAAGCUGGUGAUCCUGUUAAUAAUGUUAGGUCCAAUGAUGCCAACAAACCUGCACUGUUGCCUACCCAAGCCGUCUCUGGAUCCAAAGGAAGCAAAGAUAAUGCUACAAGAUCCAAAAGAGAAGAAGGUAUUCUUGAUCAUAAUGUUGGUGUAGUUGAUGGAAACACACCUGAAGUGUUACCUGACCAAGCCAUCUCUGAAUCCCAAGGAACAGUUCCGAUGGAAGUAUGGAGUAUGUGCGGGGGGUUGCCACUGGCCAUAGUUACCAUGGCUGGUCAUGUGGCCUGCAACCCAAACAAAUCAAAGGACGAAUGGUUGAAGGACUGCAAAUCUCUAUUUCCAGAGCUAGGGAAAGUUAAAGGUAAAGAUGGUGGUAAGAAACGUACCCAGGAGGAAGUGGGAAAGAUCGUUAGCCAUUGCUACAAUGACAUGCCUGCUGAAAUCAAGACUUGUUCGCUGUAUUUGAGCAUAUUCUCAAAAGGCCACAGAAUCAGCAGGAAACGUUUGACACGGCGAUGGAUCGCUGAAGGCUUUGUCAGUGAGAAGCAGGGGCUGACUGUGGAGGAUGUUGCGGAGACAUAUUUCAAUCAUCUCAUCAGGAGGAAAAUCAUCCUUCCAGUGGAUCACAGCAGCAAUGGAAAGGUGAAGUACUGCAUAGUUCACGACAUGGUCCUUGAGCACAUUGUAGCAAAGGCAAGUGAAGAGAACUUCAUCACUGUUGUUGGUGGUAACUGGCUUAUGCCGCCACCAAGCAGCAAGGUCCGCCGGCUGUCCCUUCAAGGCACUGAUUCCAAGCGUGCAAAGGAUAUAGAGAAGAUGAACUUGUCUCAUGUCCGUUCACUUACCAUGUUUGGGAGCUUGAACAACCAGUUGUCGUCCCAUUCAUUCAAGUUUGGAAUUGUGCAGGUCCUUGAUCUUGAAGGCUGCAUGGGUUUUAAACAGCAUCACACAACGGAGAUAUGCAAAAUGCUUCUCCUCAAAUAUCUCAGCCUCCGAGCAACAGAUAUAAAAAGUCUUCCUGAUCGGAUCGGGAAGCUCGUGAACUUAGAGACUCUGGACAUAAGGGAGACGAAUGUUCUUGAGUUGCCUAAAGAAGUGUGCCAGCUUGAACAGCUGGUCAACAUACUUGGUGGGAAUAAAAGAACACGGAAGGCACUUAAGCUUCCUGGAGAGCUGAAUAAGAAGAAGAAAAUGAAGGGCCUUCGCAUACUGUCAGGGAUUGAGAUCACUGCAGGAUCAGUGGAUUUGCAUCAUUUGACCGAGCUGAGGAAGCUUGCUAUCUACAAGCUGGUAACCAUGGGGGAUGAUUCGAGUUUCGAAGAAUUAAGAUCCUCUAUCGAAUAUCUUGGUGGCUACUCUCUACACACGCUCAUAAUUGGUGAUGAGUCAUCCAAGUUUAUCAAUUCACUGGAUGAUCUUUCAUCACCCCCAAUAUUCCUUAUUGCCCUUGAGUUAUCCGGCAAGAUGGUUAAGCUUCCCAGAUGGAUCAGACAACUCAGUGCUCUCAACAAGUUAACCCUGCCAAUAACAGCUCUCCGGACGGAUAAUUUGAGGCAACUUAGCGAUCUGGAGGAAUUGUUUUCUCUCACCUUUUCAUUUACUGCACAGAAUUAUGAUGCAGAAACCUUGACCAUUCUUUCAGAAAACAAGCUGCACUCCCGUGGGCAGAUCAAAGUUCCGGAAGCAGGAUUCAAGAGUCUCAAGCUUCUUCGUUUCUCUGCUCCUCUGUUGCCAUUGCUCAGCUUUCCAAAAAAAGCCAUGCCGGAGCUGGAAAGGCUUGAGCUGCGGUUUAACCUGCUGGAGGGCCUUUUUGGCGUAGAGAACCUUGAAAAACUCAAAGAGGUGCAUUUGACAUUAGACGACAAAACCCGCCAAGCUGUGACAAAGAAGAUAGCAGGCGAGAUGGAGAAUGCAGCGAAGAAGACCAAAGCCAAGGCACCCAGGAUAAUCCUUGAGACAGUAAUUCACUCAAAUUGA
rnacentral:rRNA from 1 species